GACGAACGCUGGCGGCGUGCUUAACACAUGCAAGUCGAACGGAAAGGCCCUGCUUGCCGGGUACUCGAGUGGCGAACGGGUGAGUAACACGUGGGUGAUCUGCCCUGCACUUCGGGAUAAGCCUGGGAAACUGGGUCUAAUACCGGAUAGGAGCCAUUUUUAGUGUGAUGGUUGGAAAGUUUUUUCGGUGUAGGAUGAGCUCGCGGCCUAUCAGCUUGUUGGUGGGGUAAUGGCCUACCAAGGCGGCGACGGGUAGCCGGCCUGAGGGGGUGGCCGGCCACAUUGGGACUGAGAUACGGCCCAGACUCCUACGGGAGGCAGCAGGGGGGAAUAUUGCACAAUGGGCGCAAGCCUGAUGCAGCGACGCCGCGUGGGGGAUGACGGCCUUCGGGUUGUAAACUCCUUUCGCUAGGGACGAAGCUUUUUGUGACGGUACCUAGAUAAGAAGCACCGGCUAACUACGUG
rnacentral:rRNA from 1 species